rnacentral:tRNA from 1 species
GGAGAGAUGGCUGAGUGGUCGAAAGCGGCGGUCUUGAAAACCGUUGUCCCUCGUCAGAGGGACCGUGGGUUCGAAUCCCACUCUCUCCG